GACGAACGCUGGCGGCGUGCUUAACACAUGCAAGUCGAACGCUGAAGCUCAGCUUUUGUUGGGUGGUUGAGUGGCGAACGGGUGAGUAACACGUGAGUAACCUGCCUCCUUCUUUGGGAUAACGCCCGGAAACGGGUACUAAUACUGGAUAUUCACUGGUCUUCGCAUGGGGGUUGGUGGAAAGGGUUUUUCUGGUGGGGGAUGGGCUCGCGGCCUAUCAGCUUGUUGGUGGGGUGAUGGCCUACCAAGGCUUUGACGGGUAGCCGGCCUGAGAGGGUGACCGGUCACAUUGGGACUGAGAUACGGCCCAGACUCCUACGGGAGGCAGCAGUGGGGAAUAUUGCACAAUGGGCGCAAGCCUGAUGCAGCGACGCCGCGUGAGGGAUGGAGGCCUUCGGGUUGUGAACCUCUUUCGCUCAUGGUCAAGCCGCAACAAUGGUUGUGGUGAGGGUAGUGGGUAAAGAAGCGCCGGCUAACUACGUG
rnacentral:rRNA from 1 species